rnacentral:rRNA from 1 species
GCAUAUCAAUAAGCGGAGGAAAAGAAACCAACAGGGAUUGCCUUAGUAGCGGCGAGUGAAGCGGCAAAAGCUCAAAUUUGAAAUCUGGCUCUUUCAGAGUCCGAGUUGUAAUUUGAAGAAGGUAUCUUUGGGUCUGGCUCUUGUCUAUGUUUCUUGGAACAGAACGUCACAGAGGGUGAGAAUCCCGUGCGAUGAGAUGAUCCAGGCCUAUGUAAAGUUCCUUCGAAGAGUCGAGUUGUUUGGGAAUGCAGCUCUAAGUGGGUGGUAAAUUCCAUCUAAAGCUAAAUAUUGGCGAGAGACCGAUAGCGAACAAGUACAGUGAUGGAAAGAUGAAAAGAACUUUGAAAAGAGAGUGAAAAAGUACGUGAAAUUGUUGAAAGGGAAGGGCUUGAGAUCAGACUUGGUAUUUUGUAUGUUACUUCUUCGGGGGUGGCCUCUACAGUUUAUCGGGCCAGCAUCAGUUUGGGCGGUAGGAGAAUUGCGUUGGAAUGUGGCACGGCUUCGGUUGUGUGUUAUAGCCUUCGUCGAUACUGCCAGCCUAGACUGAGGACUGCGGUUUAUCCUAGGAUGUUGGCAUAAUGAUCUUAAGUCGCCCGUCUUGAACCACGGACC